GGAUAGAUCAGCUGGUAGAGUAUCAGACUCAAUCUCAGGGACAUGGGUUCAAGCCCCACGUUGGGCA